GGAAAAUGUGUGCGGAGAAAGGCAUGAACAAAAUUUGUUUCAGGAAAUGGUGUCUUGGUGAUACCAUUUCGUUGCCAUUAGGAGGACCCAGGCCUUGCUCUUGCUGGGGUUGUAGCUGAUCACAGGGAUGCCAAACGAGAGGGAAAGUGUUGGUUUGCUGGUAGUGGCGAUUAUGUUAUCUUUUACUUCACAUGGCCCUGGGAAUUGGACCCAGAGCUGUGGACGUGUUCGAGAGGACUGUGGACCUGCCUUCCUGGAGCAAGCUUCUCAUCCUCCACUGUUGAGAGAGAGAGGGGAGAUCUCGCUGAAGGUCCCCUUGUGCUUCUGGCGGUGUCAGAACUUGAACCCAGGGCCUCACUAUUUGAAAACUCAAUUUAGACCAAACGGUCACCCGAAAUAAGAGAACAACCUGUCCACUGGAGCUUCCCGUCUGCUUCUGAUCUCGGUGUUUCAGAGAACCCUCCUGCUGCAGCAAUCCUUUCUUGGCCUGAAGACCCUGGGGCUUCACGCCAGCUGAUGGCUCAUGCAGCACUGGAAACUGUCUUCUGGCUCCUCCCUGGCUUCUCAUCAGGGCCUGACAGUCCCUGAAAACUCAGACAUGGAGAUGCUGUUGCUGCGAUCACGGGGCUGACUGUGUAGGGCAGAGUUUGCUGCUAAGUGAGAAGGCUGGUAUUCAGAUUAAAUGGCAAACUCGCUGUCUCUGACAUUUUAUAACCAUGGAGCAUUGGGCAAAAAUAGCAUUUCAGCCUUAAAACAAACAAACAAAACAAAGGCGGG